rnacentral:lncRNA from 1 species
UUUUCCUAAAAUUCUACAAUACACCUUACUGCUUCUCUAAAAAUAAAAGGUUUUUUAAAAGUGUAUUGUCAGAGCGCCUAGCUGGCUCAGUUGGUAGAGGGUAUAACUCUUGAUCUCUGGGUGGUAAGUUUGAGGCCCAUAUUGGACAUGAUUACUUUUUUUUUUUUUUUUAAGAUUUUACUUAUUUGAGAGAGAGUAUAAGCAGGGAGAGUAGCAGAGGGAGGGAGAAACAGUCUCCUCUCUCAGCAGGGAGCCUGACCAGUGGUGAUCCUGGGAUCAUGACCUGAACAGAAGGCAUACACCAAACAGACUGAGCCACCCAGGUACCCUGGGCACUACUAUAAAAAAAAAUGAAUUAUCUAUGCAUAAUGCACAUAUAGGUGACAAUAUUAUAUACAUUCAGAAAUUGAUUUUUUGCUACAAUUUAAAAGGAAAAAAAAAAUGAACUGUCUUAGCACUGAAAUCUGUCACUUCCUGCCUAAAUGACCCAGAAAACCCACAACUUUUAAAAUAAACUUUAUUUGGAGACAUUCCUGGAUGGGUGGCUCAAUUAAUCACUUCUUGAUUUUGGCCCAGGUCCUGAUCGAGGUCAUGGGAUCAAGCCCCAAAGCCCCACAUCAGGUUCUGCAAUCAGCAGGCAAUCUGCCAGAGAUACUCUCCCUUUCGCUCUACCCCUCCCCCAUUUGCACACGAGUGUGCGCAUGCAUACUCCUAAACAAAUCUUUUAUAAAAUGUAGCAGGAAAAAUAAUGAACUUCACCUGGGGCACCUGGCUUGCUCAGUCAGUAGAGUAUGUGACUCCUGAUCUCAGGGUUUUUAGUUCAAGCCCCAGGUUGGGUAUAGAGAAUAUUUAAAAAUUUAAAAAAACAAAAAAACUUUACUCCUAGAAUGUAAGGUUCUUCAUGAUGUGGUUGAUCUCUUCAAAUAUACUCCCUUGCUAGUGAACCUGAUGCUUAAGCAUGCUCUAUAUUUUCUGACUUCUGUGCCUUUUGCUCAAAUUGCUCUCCCCUACUUCUCAUGUCAUCUCCCACCUUCCUUUAAUGCCCAGCUCAGACUACCUCCAGAGCCUUUGAUUCUUGUCUUGAUAUGGAGUCCCCUUCCUUGGCAUCCCCAUAAUUUGUACCUUGUUGACAGCACCAUUUCCCUGAUAGUAUGGCUAUCAGGCUCCUCAAAAAGAAGUUGAAGUUCUAUGAGGUCAAAUCCACAUUCCCAAUCUAGUGCUUUUUCAGUAUUCCCUCUACUCCAUAUAUACGGUUGAGAAAAACAAAGUAAUCCUGUUAUUCUACCUCUUCUGUUAUUCUUCUGUUCCGAAGAUUUUAUUUAUCCCAAACCUGUCUAGAGGGUUUAGUCCAAAACUCACCACUUGCUGGCCAGAAGUGAAACUGAAGGUGUUUUCCCUCUUCCGACCUAUCUGCCCCCGUCCCACUAAAUAGUCUCAAAGACACUGCAAUUCUUUUUUUCAUUUUUUUAAAGUAGGCUCCAUGGCCAUUGUGGGAUUAGAACUCACAACCCUGAGACCAAGAGUUGCAUGCUCGAACCGAACCAGUCAGGUACCCCAAACACAAUGCAAUUCUAAAUUUCUACUUGACACAGGAACAUUUCACAAGUCUAUGUAUAUCUGGGUAGUUUUAUGAAAAAUCCAAGUUCUAUUUAAGUCUUUUUAAGCCCUCCAUGGACAACAGAAACAAACCAUUUAACAUUUGCUCAGUUCAGCUGAAUUUAUGAUUGGCACUAGACUAGACUCUUAUAGAAUCAGUAUCUUGGAAUAUAAAUACAUCUUGGGGUACCUGGGUUGGUUCAGUGGGUUAAGUGUCUGACUCUUGAUCUUAGGGUCAUGAGUUCAAGCCCUGUAUUGGGAUCCAUGCUGGGUGUGGAGGCUACUUAAAAAACAAAACAAAAAAAACAUUUAUUUUAAGAUGUUAGGUUUAUAGCUCCAUCUUUGCUUUUACAUCUGUGGUAUGAUGUUGGUCCUCUAAAAUCUUUCAUGCCAUAUUCUUGGUUAGAAAUCCAUUUCCAGGGACGCCUGGGUGGUUCAGUGGUUAAGCAUCUGCCUUUGGCUCAGGGUGUGAUCCCAGAGUCCCAAGAUCGAGUCCCACAAUGGGCUCUCUGCAGAGCCUGCUUCUCCUUCUGCCAAUGUCUCUGUCUUUCUCUCUGUGUCUCUCAUGAAUAAAUAAAUAAAAUCUUUUAAAAAAUAAUAAUAAAAUCCAGGUUCUUUCUGGGAACAUUGGAAGUGAAAAAAAAUGGACUAUAUAACUUGCCUCUUGGUUUCAGUAUGCAGAUGUCUACAGGUGUAAGAUAACAGUCCCUCACACUGUUUUCUACAGUUUACAAAGCACUGCCAAUUACUUUAUCAGAGGCCCCAAAAGAACUAAGUGCCUUGUUCAAAGCUACACUGCUAUAAGCUCAAAUGCCAGAAUUAAAACCAGACCUCUCACUACAAGUCUGUUCUUGGUUUUUCCUAAAAGAUCUAUAAAGUUCCAACUGUCAUCUACAGACACAUUACGCAUGUCAUGCAAAAGCAAAUCAAUCAUUCCAACACAAAUUUCUCACAUUAUCAACCAGUAUCCCUACAAUAUUUUGUAGGAAAAUACCACUUGCCUUCUAUUUAUUCCUAUAGCUUAACACAGAGCUACCAACCAAAUGUCCUUCCCUCAAAAGAUCGUCUUCGGCCCACAGUGAGGUUAGGCCACCAACCUAUAUGAGCCAUAUGGAUGAGAGAAUAGUGUUCAAAGUGGAAACAAGACUGGAGGCUAGGGGUGCCUGGGUGGCUCAGUCAGCUAAGCAUCUGCCUUCGACUCAGGUCAUGAUCCCAGAGUCCAGGGAUCAAGCCCUGCAUUGGGCUCCUAGCUCAGCAGGGAGUCUGCUUCUCCCUCUCCCUCUGCUCUUUCCCCUGCUCAUCCUCUUUUCCCUCAAAUAAAAUCGUAAAAAAAAAAAAAAAAAAAAAAAAAAGAC